AUUGAACGCUGGCGGCAUGCCUUACACAUGCAAGUCGAACGGCAGCACGGGUGCUUGCACCUGGUGGCGAGUGGCGAACGGGUGAGUAGUAUAUCGGAACGUACCUUAUUGUGGGGGAUAACGCAGCGAAAGCUGUGCUAAUACCGCAUAAUCCCUAAGGGGGAAAGCGGGGGACCGUAAGGCCUCGCGCAAUUAGAGCGGCCGAUACCUGAUUAGCUAGUUGGUGAGGUAAAGGCUCACCAAGGCAACGAUCAGUAGCUGGUCUGAGAGGACAAUCAGCCACACUGGGACUGAGACACGGCCCAGACUCCGACGGGAGGCAGCAGUGGGGAAUUUUGGACAAUGGGGGCAACCCUGAUCCAGCAAUGCCGCGUGGGUGAAGAAGGCCUUCGGGUUGUAAAGCUCUUUUGUCAGGGAAGAAACAGCAGCUCUAACACAGUUUGCGAAUGACGGUACCUGAAGAAUAAGCACCGGCUAACUACGUGCCAGCAGCCGCGGUAA
rnacentral:rRNA from 1 species